CAAAAGCGUAUAUUAAAGUUGUUGCAGUUAAAAAGCUCGUAGUUGAACCUUGGGCUUGGCUGGCCGGUCCAUCUUUUUUGAUGCGUACUGGACCCAGCCGAGCCUUUCCUUCUGGCUAGCCUUUUGGCGAACCAGGACUUUUACUUUGAAAAAAUUAGAGUGUUCAAAGCAGGCCUUUGCUCGAAUAUAUUAGCAUGGAAUGAUAGAAUAGGACGUUAUGGUUCUAUUUUGUUGGUUUCUAGGACCAUCGUAAUGAUUAAUAGGGACGGUCGGGGGUAUCAGUAUUCAGUUGUCAGAGGUGAAAUUCUUGGAUUUACUGAAGACUAACUACUGCGAAAGCAUUUACCAAGGACGUUUUCAUUAA
rnacentral:rRNA from 1 species